GACAGAGGAUGCAAGCGUUAUCCGGAAUGAUUGGGCGUAAAGCGUCUGUAGGUGGCUUUUUAAGUCCGCCGUCAAAUCCCAGGGCUCAACCCUGGACAGGCGGUGGAAACUACCAAGCUGGAGUACGGUAGGGGCAGAGGGAAUUUCCGGUGGAGCGGUGAAAUGCGUAGAGAUCGGAAAGAACACCAACGGCGAAGGCACUCUACUGGGCCACUACUGACACUGAGAGACGAAAGCUAGGGGAGCGAAUGGG
rnacentral:rRNA from 1 species